GAUGAACGCUAGCGGGAGGCCUAACACAUGCAAGCCGAGCGGUAGAGUCUCUUCGGAGACUUGAGAGCGGCGUACGGGUGCGUAACACGUGUGCAACCUGCCUCUAUCUGGGGGAUAGCCUUCCGAAAGGAAGAUUAAUACCCCAUAAUAUAAUGAUUGGCAUCAAUUAUUAUUGAAAACUCCGGUGGAUAGAGAUGGGCACGCGCAAGAUUAGAUAGUUGGUGGGGUAACGGCCCACCAAGUCGAUGAUCUUUAGGGGUCCUGAGAGGGAGAUCCCCCACACUGGUACUGAGACACGGACCAGACUCCUACGGGAGGCAGCAGUGAGGAAUAUUGGACAAUGGGUGGAAGCCUGAUCCAGCCAUCCCGCGUGAAGGACGACGGCCCUAUGGGUUGUAAACUUCUUUUGUACAGGGAUAAACCUCCCCUCGUGAGGGGAGCUGAAGGUACUGUACGAAUAAGCACCGGCUAACUCCGUG
rnacentral:rRNA from 1 species